GACGAACCGUGCGAACGUUGUUCGGAAUCACUGGGCUUAACGGGCGCGUAGGCGGCUUGCCAAGUCCGGGGUGAAAGCCUCCAGCUCAACUGGAGAAGUGCCUUGGAUACUGGCGAGCUCGAGCGAGGUAGGGGCGGGUGGAACUUCCGGCGGAGCGGUGAAAUGCGUUGAUAUCGGAAGGAACGCCGGUGGCGAAAGCGGCUCUCUGGAGCUUUUCUGACGCUGAGGCACGAAAGCUAGGGGAGCGAACGGG
rnacentral:rRNA from 1 species